rnacentral:lncRNA from 1 species
CUUACUCUAAUGUGUUCUUGAAUUUGGUUUGUAUAUGUGUCUUGUUGGACAGAUUUUCCACCUAUGUUUUUCAGGGAAAUUGAUCUGUUCCUUUCAUUUGUUGUUGGGAUCUGACCUGGCAUUUCUAUUAGGUUAGUGUUGAUUUUGUAGGAUGACUUGGCUAUCUUUUCUUCCCUUUAGGUUUUGUGGAACAGUUUCAGGAGUAUCAGUAUUAGUGUUUCUUUAAAUAAUUGGUAAUGUCUGGGAGUUAUUUUUUUCAGUUGUGGCUUUUCUUUUCUGGGAGGUGCUCUUUUGUUUCUUGCUCAUUGCUGUUACGGAUCUAUUUAAAUUGUUUUUAGCUUCUUGAUUUAAUUUUGAUGGAUCUUAUGUGUUUAGGAAUUUUUCUUUUAGAAUUUCAAGUGUUAAAUAUAAGUUUUGAGAGUAUUCUAUAAUGCUCAUCUGAAUUUUACUGGAAUUUGCUGUAAAAUUCUCCUUUUCCUUUCUAUUUUACUGAUCUGGGCCUUUUCUUUCUUCGGCUUGUUUUAUUAGGGUGUUAAUCAUACUCAUUUCAAAACACUAUUUUCUUGUUUUGUUGAUUCUGUAUUUAUCUCCAUUUGAUUAAUUUCUGCCCCCAUCUUUAGUUUUUUUUUUUUUCCACCUACUGUGUUUGGGGGUUGUCUUGUUCUUGUUUUUUUUUUUUUUCUCCCUACAGCAUUGGGAGUAUAUCAUAAGGGUAUUUAUUUGAAAGCUCACUGAUUUAAAAAAUGUAAAUAUCUAGUUACAAUCUUUUCUCUUAAAACUGCUUGAGGUAUAGCUCAUAGCUUCUGAUAAAGUUGUGCUUCUACUUUUCACUUUGAAAUUUUUAUUGAACUUUUUAUUUUUUUCUUAUUUCUUCAGCGGCUCAUUUUAGUUAUACAAGAGUAUAUUGUUCAUUUUCCAAUCCAAGUAUUUGUGAUUUGUGUAAUUUCUUUUGCUAUCAGGUGCUUGUUUUGUUCCACUAUGAUCUGAAUAAAGAACUUACUUCAGUUCUUUUGUGUGUGUGAAGACUUGUUUUAUGUUGUAUUUCUAGCAGGCUUCAUUGAUUGCUUAUAAGAAUGUGUAUUCUGUUUGAUAGAAUAUUUUGCAGAUACCUGCUAACUCCACUUGAUCUAUGGUGUAGUUUAACUGACAUAUUUCUAUUAGAGAAAACAGAACAAAAAGAAGCAACCAAACAAUGGCACCUGCCUUGGUUGUUUAUUGCUCUAGUUCUGUGGCACCUAGCAUUUGCAUUCCCAUUCUUGUGGUCCCCUAUUUUCAGGCACCCAGUAUAGCCCAGUUUUAAGCAAAAGGUAAAUUCUGAAGAUGAUGCUGGGUCACUGCACUCUUGAGUCACUUCUGCCUAUUGCUGUGGAGGAAUCUGCUAUUUUGUGGAGGAAUCACUUUCUUCAAAAAUCUGCAUCCGGAUUUGAGGCUUUUGAGGUCUGUAGGCUUGUCUCAAAGUAUGCCUGCCAGUCUCUUUUGAGCAGGGUAGCCUAUCUCACCUUUUUAAUGGGGCUUCUGCUUUCCUUAACUUCACCAGGGAACCAUGUGGCUGUAUCUGUGUGUGUUUGACUUGGCUUCUUUUCAAUGUGUUACCUGUUUUUUCCUUGAUAGUUUGUAGCUGUUUAGUGAGAGCUGUUGAAUUUCCAAAGCUUUCUACUUUGUUGUUUUGGAGCAGUGUAUUCUUUUUACACUUCUCAUCUCUUUACCUGGGUCAUCAGAUGCUGCUUUCAGUCUGGUGUCUUACCACAGUUUUGUUUGUUGUUAUCUAAGCUUGAAGAUUUGGUGUGGAAAGUAGGAUGAGAGUCUUUUCCAAUCUCAUGGGUUCUUUUAGUCACAUUACAGUGUGACCAGAGAAAUACUAAAAAGAAAAUUAAGUGUCAAGCCGAACAAUUCUUUGAAAGAUUUGAGGACAUUCAACUCCUUAGAUUACAUUAUUUUGAGAGUGCUUAGUAUAACCUGAAUAUAAAAUUUAUUCAUUCCAGAUUCAUAUUGUCACUAUAUCAGCUUUUUAGAAAAAUCUCUUUAAAAGGGAAGUCAGUUGGCUUUUUUCUGUCCCCUAAACCUUUUCUUAUUAUAGUCACAGUACUACAAACCACCACCACCACUAAUUAAUAACAACAACAACAACAACAACAACAAUGAAUGUUUUCUCUGUGUAUCCCUGACUGUCCUGGAACUAGCUCUGUAGACUAGGCUGGCCUUGAACUUAGAGAUCCACCUGCCUCUGCCUCCCAAGUGAUGGGAUUAAAGGUGUGUGCAACAUUAUCCUACACACAGGUUUUAAUUCAUUGGUUCAUUCAUUCAUUCAUUUUUUUCACACAAAGCAUCCCAUAUCUAUCCAUUUAUUCAACCAUUAUUUCAGAAAAUAUAUACCCACUGGAGCCACCCCUCCCUCCACUCCUCCCAGUCCCCAUACUACCCCCGCUCUCUCCCAGAUACACUGCUCAUUUGUUUCCCUUCGGAAAAGGGCAGGCUUCCCAAUGGCAUCAACUAAACAUGGCAUAAUAAGUUGCAAGAAGACUAGUUAAAGUCCACAUAUCAAGGCUGGACUACUCAGAGACAUAUGCAGUUGACUAUAAUUUGAAGUUUCCACCCCCUACUAUGCAAAAGAAGAUAGUUAUUAGUGUUCUCAAGCAUACCUUUUAAAUUUUUUUCAGAAUAAUGAUACUUUUAAGUAUAUCUUCUGAAUCUUGAUCCAGUGAUUCUUGCUUCAAGAUGUGCUUUAUCAUGUUUUUUUCUUUUUAUAUAAGUGAUAUUUCUGAGACAUUGUCUACUGUAGAUUAUUUAGCUUGUUUCUUUCUUUGUCAGUAUUUUGGAGAGGUGUGUUGAUGUGUGUGUACCUUCAUGUGUUUUCAUUUCUAGAGGUUGAACUCAGGACCUUAUGCAUCCUAAUUAGACACUAUUAAACUGUGUCUUCAGCCUUAUUAACCUUUUUAAAAAGUAAUUCUUCCUGGUUUUUAUUUUUACAUUAAAACCACAAUUUCCUCUGUGUUCUAAGGUCUAUCCUGCCAGCAACAUGAUUAUUGAAUCUGUAAUCUUGUUUACACAUGGACACCUCUCCUAGUAUUCAUUACAGUAUUACCUUGGUUUGUUAUUUCCAUGGUAAGAAUUUCAGUUUGGGCUCUAGAGAGAUGGCUCAGCGGUUAAGACUGACUGAUCUUCUAGAGGUCCUGAGUUUAAUUCUCAGCUCAUUACUAUCUGUAAUGGGAUUUGAUGCCCUCUUAUGGUGUACCUGAAGACAGCGACAGUGCACUCAGAUAUAAAUGAAUAAAUAAAUCUUAAAAAAAUGUUUGGCUUCAUUUUUACAACAAUCAUUGUAAACUUAAUCAUAUUUUUGCUUGUAACUGGUUGCAUUUGCUGUACUAUACUAUCUGUCCAUCUUUUGAUAAACUCCAGUUACUUUCAGUACAAUUUCUUCAAUGAAAGGCAUGGACUCUCUUUAAGGAUAGAAGAGGUAGUGUAUUAAUUGUGCAUCACAAGGUCAUGGCAUUUAGUGCAUUGGAUAGCUAUGUACACAUUAGAUGGAGGAAUAAGUUCAUGGCUAUUUCAUGUCUGUCACUUGCUUUUCCACAUGUUCUAUUCCAGAAUGAUUUUCUCUUUCUCC